CUUGGUCAUUUAGAGGAAGUAAAAGUCGUAACACGGUUUCCGUAGUGAACCUCCGGAAGGAUCAUUCAUUGAGCAUGGUGUUUAGGCCCUAGGGCCCACUGCACAAGCCUUAUUCUUUACUCCCAAGUGAGUCCUGAUGGGGCUCACUUGUUAGUGAUGCUGAGAUAGAUUAGGUCCCUUUGUGAUUGGCUUUCGGGUGUCUUAUCUAUCCAGCCUGGAUCACUCAUUUAUUGGUCAGGUUUGAAAGCAAAUCUACUCUUUGGAAAAAGGGGGGCUUAUAUCCUCUUUUUUGGAGUCUCAAUGGGGCUGGCAGAGGGCUCCGACAAUGUUGUCCAGUCAUGGGCUUUCAUUUCUUUACAACUUUCAGCAAUGGAUCUCUUGGUUCUCGCAUCGAUGAAGAACGCAGUGAGAUGCGAUAACUGGUGUGAAUUGCAUCCAAGUAACUCUAAUUUACGAAUAACACCAAGUGAAUCAUCGAGUCUUUGAACGCAAUUGCGCCCUCUCGGUCACUUCCAAUUGGGGGUUGACUCAUAGGGGGUACAUCUGUUCGAGGGUCAUUUGAAUCUCUCAAAGGGUGUGGUUCAUACACACUCUUUGGAUUUUGGGUCUUGCCGUGGAAUUUAUCUUGGCUCACUUGAAAGCAUUAGCAAGCUUUUAGUACUCAAGUCUUUGAUGAGGCGUCUAAUUGGUCAAGCUUAACAUCAUAAGUGACUUAAGUGGGUCUGAAGCUGCUUCAAUUGUCUUAUAGAUGGCAUGGGCUCCUCAUGUA
rnacentral:sRNA from 1 species